AAAGUCGUAACAAGGUUUCCGUAGGUGAACCUGCGGAAGGAUCAUUAAUGAAUUACAAGUCGGUUGUUCUGUGCUGGUGGCAACACAUGUGCACGUCAACCGCAAAUCCACACACCUGUGCACUUUUGACUUUGGCCUCCGCUGGUUUCUUGAAACUUGCAGUCGAUCGACUAUGGUCGAUCUGGAAGCCAGAGUACAUUUUACACUCUGAAUGUAAUGGAAUGUAUCUGUGUAUAACACACAAAUAAACAACUUUCAACAACGGAUCUCUUGGCUCUC
rnacentral:misc_RNA from 1 species